GUGGGGAAUCUUGCGCAAUGGGCGAAAGCCUGACGCAGCCAUGCCGCGUGAAUGAUGAAGGUCUUAGGAUUGUAAAAUUCUUUCACCGGGGACGAUAAUGACGGUACCCGGAGAAGAAGCCCCGGCUAACUUCGUGCCAGCAGCCGCGGUAAUACGAAGGGGGCUAGCGUUGCUCGGAAUUACUGGGCGUAAAGGGCGCGUAGGCGGACAGUUUAGUCAGAGGUGAAAGCCCAGGGCUCAAACUUGGAAUUGCCUUUGAUACUGGCUGUCUUGAGUACGGGAGAGGUGAGUGGAACUCCGAGUGUAGAGGUGAAAUUCGUAGAUAUUCGGAAGAACACCAGUGGCGAAGGCGACUCACUGGCCCGUUACUGACGCUGAGGCGCGAAAGCGUGGGGAGCAAACAGGAUUAGAUACCCCGGUAGUCC
rnacentral:rRNA from 1 species